rnacentral:lncRNA from 1 species
GCCACCCCAUCAAUUAUGAUUUUUAUUUGUUUAAAGAUUAUAGUAUUUAAAAACAACAAUUGAAAAUAUUUACAAAACGUUCAGUGUAACAACUUUCUCACUGCCCUAUAGUUAAUGAACAGUAUAGUGCAGGAUCUGAACAGGAAAUUCACAGUGCAAAAUAUACCAGGACAUAUUAUACAAAAUAUUAUUUACAUGUUAUAUCUGGACAAAGUAAAAAAGCUUUAAUUUCAAUUCUACAAUUAAUAACAAACAAAGUCACAUAUAAAAACAUACAAAAUGUAGCAAUAACAAAGUAUGUUGUAUGGGGUAAGGUGCAGAGCAGGCAUAUCUAUGUGCUGAAAACAGAAAGUUGUCUUUAAAAAAAAUAAUCACUUGAUAAUCACUUCACAUAUAGACAGGAUUCCUCUCUCAUCCUGACCUCUUACACUACGAAAUAACAUGUCUUAUUUUGGUUUGAAUUGGGAAAUAAUCAUAACUUCACACACAAACAUCUCAAGCCACCAUGGUAGAUCUGAGCAAAAAUCGACAACAAAAAAGAUCAAAGUCCAGCCUUCUUUGGAAGAGCCCUGACUAGUUCCAUGCUGACUGGCAUAGAAAUAGGUUCAUCAUAUCUGUAUCUACAGUGCUAACUGCCAAGUAUGCACUUAAGUAAGAAGGAACAGAUACUGUAGAGGAGUUAGAAGGAAUUGUGGGAGGUGUAGUCUAGUUGUGGACGGCAUUCACCUCAAGUUGCCACAAUACAACAACAGAUUUCUCAGUCGAUUUGUAAUGCCAUCAACAGCAACAUGAUAGCAGUAAAACAUCAUGGGAACUGAAACGAUCAUUAUAUAAAUAUAAGACAAUUGCUGCCCCUUGCAUAACACAAAUCGUUUUUAAAUGUUUUUCCAAAUGUAUCAUAAUCAACCACCAGGUGAAAAUGUCUAUGUUGCCCUGAAACUGAUACCAAUUCUCUCAGAUUAAUAAUUGACUCUAGUCCAUUUUUUUGUUCAUGUAUACUGUUGCAUACCAUUAAAAUGACUUCAUGGAGGCGAGCCUGGGCAAAACAUUGACAUAGAUCAGAAUUUUCCACCAGCAGAAAAAGGAAGGACAAAAUAAAAGAAACUGCUGCAGUAGAACUGUUGAAGUAACAGGCUGGCUGUUGGUAACUAGGUUGGUUAAUGUUACAAUAAAUUCCAGAGAUUACACAAAGUCAAGUCAAAGGUUGAAUUCAAAAUGGCACCCGAUUCCUUCUAGUCAAAAGUAAUGUACUAUUUAUAUUUAGCCUAGCAUUUCUUCACAUACACAUUGUAGCAGAAUCAAAGUCCAGGGAGAAUAGUGGCAGGCAUAGUAGUAUCUAUCGGAAUCGUCUUUCAGAGGUGAAACCAGUUUACUUCAUAUUUUUGGAAAAGUGCUAUGUACACGCAUAAACAAACAACACAACAACAUUGUCAGUCACCUCCUUGUCUGAAGGACAAGUGGAGAAACAGGCUAAUGUCAAGCCUCGCAUGUUUUCUUCAAAAGUCUCAUUGAAUGCAGGUCUACAUUGAACACCACACAUUGCUGCUACUGUAUGAAUGAUAGAACAGCUAUUUCCAUUUUAAAAUGAUAUGGAAUGCAUUUGUUCCAUUGGUUUUUAUGGUAAGCCACUCUGGUAGGCUUACAUUAUGAUCAAAUAGACACACUAGCCUACUUGACCACUGUUAAAACUAACUUAAAGUGGGUACAUUCUCAGUGUUCACAGUAAACACGCGUCCAGAAGUGGGACAGAAUUUUCACAACGUUCAAGUUUGCGCUCAGCAGACCUGAAGUUUGCUCAGUGAUGAAAAAAAUCAGAGGGAACAUUGCUCAUGAACCUUCUAGUAUAGUGUGAAACGGUACAAUGAUUAGAUGGCUUGGUGUUAAGAGUACCCAUUUAACAAUCAUGCUGGUAGAAUCUACAGUAUACUGACACUAUGGCAACCCUAUAUAGCAGGGAUCAUCAACUAGAUUCAGCCGCGGGAAGAUUUUUUUCUUGAGUCGGGGGGCCGGAACAUAAUUACAAAAAAUGUGUAGACUGCAAAUGAAACACAAGAAGCCCAAAAAUAUAUAACGUUUGACUAAAACGUAAUCAUUUCAAACCUUGCUUACAUUUCUAUAUGAUCACGUGUCUCUCUAUUAUGCGUGGGAACACUUGGGAACAGACUUCUUAAAUUAAAAUAACUUGGAGCUGAUUUCCUGGUGUUUUUAUAGUCCAUUUAUGAAAACUUGGGGGGCAAAUAAAUCCAAUUUGGCCCGUGGACCGCCAGUUGGGGAACCCUGCUGUACAGAACCAAUCAUGUUAGUCUUUUAAACAUCAUCAACAGUCAUCAACCACGGUGUUUAAAGGCUGGUAUUUAUAUAAAUAUUGAUCUGAAUUUUCCACCAGCAGAUAGCGCAACACAAGAAGAAAGGAGAAAGAGGAAGACCAAAAACAUAAUCAUCUGUGGUAGGAGCAACAGGCUUUUGGUUAUCAGAGUGGUUGUUGUACAGUCUUGCGAAACCCUCUUUCAGAAGGGAAACCAGUUUUACUACAUGUUUUUCAGAAAAGUGCUGUGUUCAAAUUGAAUGUUCGCACAACCUUAGUAUAGAACAGUGUGUAAAGUUAUAGUAAUUAGAUGGUAUGGUGUUACAGUAUAGUAUUAACAACCACUAUGGUAGAAUCUACAGUAUAGGAAACAUGGAAUGUUAAACCAUGCACCUUGUUGUAUAGUGUGUACAGUGAUUAGAUUACCUGGUAUUACAGUAUACCAAUGUUCUGCAGUGGUAGAAUCUAGAGCAUUGUGACACCAUGGCAUCCCUGUAUAGAAACAUUGAUAUAUAGGGCAGUUACAUAUCAUUUGUAAUCAACCACAGACCUUAAAGGCUGCCAUCAUCAGUAGAUUAUGAAGAAACAAAUGCCUCAAUCAGAAUGACCUGAAUGCCAAAGUGACUGUCAUCGGACACUUAACAGGAAACAGUCCAUCAAAAAAUAGUGACAAGCCCCUUAUUGAUCGUCAAGGAAACAAUCCCUUCCAGAGACUGCCAGUUAACGAAUCAUUUACUAGAGACUGGAAUGCUGGUUCUGUGGACUGUCACAGUUUAGACCUGGAGAGAGGGAGAGGGAGGGAGGGAGACAGAGAGAGAGAAAGAGAAAGAGAGAAAGAGCAUAAUGUUACACAAUAAUAGAAAGUAAAAACAGGAGAGACUCUUCACUAAUCAUUACAAGGAGCACGAGCAGCAUGUAAACUACAAGAUAACCACAAGGUUAAACUACAGGACAAUCAAUCAUUUAAAAAAAAACAUG